rnacentral:rRNA from 1 species
GCUGGCGGCGUGCUUACACAUGCAAGUCGAGCGGAGAUUGCAUUUAUGUAAUCUUAGCGGCGGACGGGUGAGUAACGCGUAGGCAACCUGCCUUGCACAGAGGGAUAACACCGGGAAACUGGUGCUAAUACCACAUGAUAUCAUAACAAGGCAUCUUGAAAUGAUCAAAGGAUAAAUCCGGUGCAAGAUGGGCCUGCGUCCGAUUAGUUAGUUGGUGAGGUAACGGCUCACCAAGGCGACGAUCGGUAGCCGAACUGAGAGGUUGAUCGGCCACAUUGGGACUGAGACACGGCCCAGACUCCUACGGGAGGCAGCAGUGGGGAAUAUUGCGCAAUGGGGGGAACCCUGACGCAGCAACGCCGCGUGAAGGAAGAAGGCCUUCGGGUUGUAAACCUUUUUGAUUGGGGAAGAAAAAAAUGACGGUACCCAAGGAACAAGCCACGGCUAACUACGUGCCAGCAGCCGCGGUAAUACGUAGGUGGCGAGCGUUGUCCGGAAUUACUGGGUGUAAAGGGCGUGUAGGCGGGAUUGUAAGUCAGAUGUGAAAUUCCAGGGCUUAACUCUGGAGGUGCAUCUGAAACUAUAAUUCUUGAGUGCUGGAGAGGAAAGCGGAAUUCCUAGUGUAGCGGUGAAAUGCGUAGAUAUUAGGAAGAACACCAGUGGCGAAGGCGGCUUUCUGGACAGUAACUGACGCUGAGGCGCGAAAAGCGUGGGGAGCAAACCAGGAUUAGAUACCCUGGUAGUCCACGCUGUAAAC